CCUAAGGCGAGGCCGACAGGCGUAGUCGAUGGAUAACCGGUUGAUAUUCCGGUACCCGCUGUGAAGCGUCAAACAUUGAAUCCAGUGAUGCUAAGCCCGUGAAGCCGCCCUGAUCUCUUCGGAGUUGAGGGGAGUGGUGGAGCCGGUGACCCAGGCUGGUAGUAGGUGAGUGAUGGGGUGACGCAGGAAGGUAGUCCAUCCCGGGCGGUGGUUGUCCCGGGGUAAGGGUGUAGGGCGUUGCGUAGGUAAAUCCGCGCAGCUUGUGCCUGAGACCUGAUGCCGAGCCGAUUGUGGUGAAGUGGAUGA
rnacentral:rRNA from 1 species